CCCUUAGAUGUCCUGGGCCGCACGCGUGCUACACUGAUGCAUACAGCGAGUACUCCCAGCUCCGAGAGGCUGCUGGUAAUCAGCAAUACGCAUCGUGAUGGGGAUAGAUCUUUGGAAUUAUAGAUCUUGAACGAGGAAUUCCUAGUAAUCGCAGGUCAUCACCCUGCGUUGACUAAGUCCCUGCCCUUUGUACACACCGCCCGUCGCUCCUACCGAUUUCGAGUGAUCCGGUGAAUCAUUCGGACCGCGGCCCCUAGGCAUGCGGAAAGUCUAGUAAACCAUAUCACUUAGAGGAAGGAGAAGUCGUAACA
rnacentral:rRNA from 1 species